GAAUUACCAUAACUGGCCUGGACUAAUCAAGCUUCACCCCUGAGGUUGGGGAAGAGACUAGAUUCUCCUGAUUCUCAAGGUUCUAGGACAAAACAUGAACAAAAUCAAUGAAAGUUUGGAUAUAGGCCACCAAAUGACUUUGUGUGUUAUGAUUGUUAAACCUAUCUCUUUGUUCUACUCAUCCACAACUUUCCUCCUUUCAUUACAUACUAAAAAUACCAACUUAUUUGCUUUAGUUUUCACAACCCCAAGUUUGUAGCAUGAGCUUAAAAAGUUCCUACUAGAUCACUUUGUGGCAUGUCUUAUAAAUAGGCUAACAUUCAGUUCACAAAAGAAACACGUACAAGAACAUUAAGAAAUGCAAUUGUUCAUUAACCUUCCUACUAUUUCCAGAUCAGCAAUAUUAUUAACUCAAGACACCUGGGGGGCCAGAAGUAGCCACAACAUCGUCCAGCCAAUUCUAUUACUUUGGUUCUUCAGACUCAAAGAUCUUGAUGUUUGUGGACUCGAAGGACUGCACUUCAAAACACUUUACUUCGGGCUAAUGUGCAAGACAUUUCACGAGCUGCCCUUUGCCACACUCCGGGGUCAUGGCUUUGACAACUCCAUCAGCACUCUACUAUUUAGUCUGCAAUUUCCUUAGGAUUCUCUACUUCACGUCACUUCAGUGUAUCUGCCUAUAAAGUUUCCUCUGCCUGAAAUGCCCUUUCCUACCUGGUCUAUCUUUGGGACUUAUCCUGAGAUUUACUCCUCUGGUCAUAGCUUACCAGAUACCCCAAAACAGAAUUAGACACCCUUUUUUCUGAGUUCCUCCAACCAUGUUUCAUUAAAGCUUGAUUUGUUUGGUUUGACUUUUUAGCUUGAUUGUUUCCGAAUGUGGAUGGUGAAAUUUUUGGAGACAAAACUGUUUUUUACUCUUCUAGAAAAUUAUUUCCAUUGUCUUUUACAGUCCCUUGAACAUAAAAACUACUCA
rnacentral:lncRNA from 10 species